rnacentral:rRNA from 1 species
UGGGGAAUAUUGCACAAUGGGCGCAAGCCUGAUGCAGCCAUGCCGCGUGUGUGAAGAAGGCCUUCGGGUUGUAAAGCACUUUCAGCGAGGAGGAAGGUGGUGAACUUAAUACGUUCAUCAAUUGACGUUACUCGCAGAAGAAGCACCGGCUAACUCCGUGCCAGCAGCCGCGGUAAUACGGAGGGUGCAAGCGUUAAUCGGAAUUACUGGGCGUAAAGCGCACGCAGGCGGUUUGUUAAGUCAGAUGUGAAAUCCCCCGGGCUCAACCUGGGAACUGCAUUUGAAACUGGCAAGCUAGAGUCUCGUAGAGGGGGGUAGAAUUCCAGGUGUAGCGGUGAAAUGCGUAGAGAUCUGGAGGAAUACCGGUGGCGAAGGCGGCCCCCUGGACGAAGACUGACGCUCAGGUGCGAAAA